rnacentral:rRNA from 1 species
CGUACUGUAGAGUAUGGGGUUGCCACUAGGAUCGGUUGAGGCUAAUACUCGUCAUAAUCCGCUCUGCGGACGUGAAAGAUCAUAUCGCUAUUAGAUGAGCCUAUGUUAGAUUAGCUAGUUGGUAGGGUAAAGGCCUACCAAGGCAGUGAUCUAUAGCUGGUCUGAGAGGAUGAUCAGCCACACUGGAACUGAGAUACGGUCCAGACUCCUACGGGAGGCAGCAGUGGGGAAUAUUGGACAAUGGGCGCAAGCCUGAUCCAGCUAUGCCGCGUGAGUGAGGAAGGCCUUAGGGUUGUAAAACUCUUUCAGUGGGGAAGAUAAUGACGGUACCCACAGAAGAAGUCCCGGCAAA